CAAGCCGGUGCACCGCGGCUCAGGUUAAUAUAACUCCCUUAUUGUUCUGCCUGAAGUUAGACGCGCCUACCUACCACAUGGUCUACAUCUGAACUGGAGUCCUUCCUGAUCUACAUACACAUCUACAUGAGACUGUGUCUACGCAUUGAAAACUGCAUAGGACUACACAUCCAUCGCAGAACGAGAGCAAUGUUGACAAGAACGGCUCUCACUUGGGGCUUCCAAGGAGAAUGAUCCUGAGAUAAGAUUAACCAAGACUCCUGAAGUGCCACCACCAACAAUGGCUGAGCUGCUACAACUUUGAGGAGAAGUCGCCACGCCACAGUUAGCACACCUGAGCAUUCCCUUUUGUCAGACUUCCUGGGAAGUGUGAAAACCUACAGAGUACUCAGAAAUGUUGUUGAAAGUGGAGGGCUUACAACCAAACAUAUAAAUCAUAUGUAAAUAAGGGAUGUUUGUGUGGGCAACAAACUUGUGUGAGAAACAAUAUUUGUGCAUUCUUUAUCUAGCAUAUAGGCAUCAUUAUUUUACUUUUGGAAUGGUUUUCAAAUGAUUUACUAAGCUGUUAUCUUUUUCUGGAUAUCUAUAC